ACGAACGCUGGCGGCAUGCCUAACCCCUGCAAGUCGAACGAGACCUUCGGGUCUAGUGGCGCACGGGUGCGUCACGCGUGGGAACCUGCCCUUAGGUUCGGAAUAACUCCCCGAAAGGGGUGCUAAUACCGGAUAAUGUCUUCGGACCAAAGAUUUAUCGCCUUUGGAUGGGCCCGCGUUGGAUUAGCUAGUUGGUAGGGUAAAAGCCUACCAAGGCGACGAUCCAUAGCUGGUCUGAGAGGAUGAUCAGCCACACUGGGACUGAGACACGGCCCAGACUCCUACGGGAGGCAGCAGUGGGGAAUAUUGGACAAUGGGCGAAAGCCUGAUCCAGCAAUGCCGCGUGAGUGAUGAAGGCCUUAGGGUUGUAAAGCUCUUUUACCCGGGAUGAUAAUGACAGUACCGGGAGAAUAAGCGCCGGCUAACUCCGUG
rnacentral:rRNA from 1 species